AAAUAUUUUACAGUGAAGAUCAUGUAAACACCAGUGGCGGCUAUUUAGAAGUAAGUGAAGAAAAAGUGAAGAAACGCCUGGUAAAAAGUACCUAAACUUAUAUGUAC